rnacentral:rRNA from 1 species
UACGUAGGGGGCAAGCGUUGUCCGGAUUUAUUGGGCGUAAAGAGCUCGUAGGCGGUCUGUCGCGUCGGAUGUGAAAACUCGGGGCUCAACCCCGAGCCUGCAUUCGAUACGGGCAGACUAGAGUUCGGUAGGGGAGACUGGAAUUCCUGGUGUAGCGGUGAAAUGCGCAGAUAUCAGGAGGAACACCGGUGGCGAAGGCGGGUCUCUGGGCCGAUACUGACGCUGAGGAGCGAAGGCGUGGGGGAGCGAACAGG